rnacentral:rRNA from 1 species
GACGAACGCUGGCGGCGUGCCUAAUACAUGCAAGUCGAGCGAAGUUUUUCUGGUGCUUGCACUAGAAAAACUUAGCGGCGAACGGGUGAGUAACACGUAAAGAACCUGCCUCAUAGACUGGGACAACUAUUGGAAACGAUAGCUAAUACCGGAUAACAGCAUUAACUGCAUGGUUGAUGUUUAAAAGUUGGUUAUGCUAACACUAUGAGAUGGCUUUGCGGUGCAUUAGCUAGUUGGUGGGGUAAAGGCCUACCAAGGCGACGAUGCAUAGCCGACCUGGGAGGGUGAUCGGCCACACUGGGACUGAGACACGGCCCAGACUCCUACGGGAGGCAGCAGUAGGGAAUCUUCCGCAAUGGGCGAAAGCCUGACGGAGCAACGCCGCGUGAGUGAAGAAGGAUUUCGGUUCGUAAAGCUCUGUUGUUAGGGAAGAAUGAUUGUGUAGUAACUAUACACAGUAGAGACGGUACCUAACCAGAAAGCCACGGCUAACUACGUGCCAGCAGCCGCGGUAAUACGUAGGUGGCAAGCGUUGUCCGGAAUUAUUGGGCGUAAAGCGCGCGCAGGUGGUUUAAUAAGUCUGAUGUGAAAGCCCACGGCUCAACCGUGGAGGGUCAUUGGAAACUGUUAACUUGAGUGCAGGAGAGAAAAGUGCAAUUCGUAGUGUAUCGCUGAAAUGCCUCCAAAUUAAGAGGAACACUGUUGACGAAGGCGCCUUUUUGGUCUUUAACUGAACUGAGGGGCGAAAACUGGGGCACUCUUGUGUUUGAUACUCUUGGGUUCUCAGG